CAUGUGCCGCAAAAUUCGAUGCGAAGGGGAAUCUUGAAAAGUUUUGGAUUUUUGGAUGAACUAAACCAGGUGGGUAUCUAUCAUCGGCUAGUCAAUUCACGUAGGUCCGUACCCCAUUAUUGAAAUUCUAGAUCCGCCGAUUUCGAGCCACAGAGAUAGUGAAAAAUGAAGCCAGUUUUCAUUUUGGUCUAAUUUUAAUUCCACAUCGAGGCGAAACGAACACACAUUUUCAUUCAGUUUCAGAUUGAAAAUUGGCCAU
rnacentral:lncRNA from 1 species